AGCAAUUUCUAUGUCCUUGUGUUGGCAUUUGGAAAAUAUCAGGACAGUUUGGUAAAUUUGAACAGAGUGCAUUAAGUUAGAAGCUUAUAAUGAUUGUGGUGGGCCUACUAAAGAAAAGGAGGAGAGUGACCGCACCAUGAAAUGAAUAAAACUGUCCAAGAAGCCUCUCUUCAUUCUCUCUCUACAACUUUCUCUCUCCUCAUUUUCUCUAUCAUAUAUUUCUCUCUCCUCCCCAUUUCAUCUGUGCAUUGCAGGCUCCACUGCCCAUUUCCCAAGAACUGCCCAUAUGAACCAGGUCAGUCUCUCUCUCUAACUUUCUCUCUCUAUAUGAAAGUGCUUUACUGUUUAUUGGAGUGAAAACCCAUUUGUUUUGAGGACAAAUAUCACUUGUUUCCUCAGUGCAUUCUCUAUGUGCGCCACUUGUUUAUGGAAUUGGGUUUAUCCAUACAAAGAUGGUUUUUUUAUUUCUGGUUUUGAUUUUUCAUGGCAGAN
rnacentral:lncRNA from 1 species